AUAAACUAUGUAUGUGUUUCA
ensembl:piRNA 21ur-2003 ncRNA